UAAAACAGAAAUCCAGAAAAUCACAUUGUAUGAUUUUGAAGUAAUUAAUUUGCAUUUUAUUACAAAUAAGUACUUCUUUCAAGCUAUAAUGCAUUCCCUUGGCAGCAUGAGCCUCUCGGUGGAUGCUGCAGUGUACCCAAGUGGCCUCGGGAGAAACUGCUUGCACAUGCGUUACCACUCUACUAUGCCUCCCUGUCAUGGCUUUUGCGCCAUCAGUACAGAUAUCAACAUGAGCAGCAGCUACGUUUGGAUACAUACAUACUGUUAGUGGAAUUCUCGCGAGAGAGUAAUGGUUAAUGUGAUUGGAUGUUAAUUAUUUGACAAGGCUACCUGUAUUUGACCUUGUGUUGUUAUUUUGCUGAACACUAGAUGGUUUAGUUUUAUUUUUGGCAGUGAAAAGAGGCUACUCAGGCGCGUACCCCUGUUUGGGAAUACCUGCUGUAAACAAACAGUGUCCUUUCAGUUGAACGUACUAGCGCUUCGCCUGUCUUCCGGACAGUUGCUAGCUUGUUAGCAUAACAAAUUACUAGCUAGACAUUUUACGACUUCGGUGUGUUCCUAAAUUCAAUCUGGAGUGCCGGAGAGUGCUUGUAUUGGGCUCAUUUAUAAGAGGAUAAGUUGGAACCAGUGUGCAGCAGCAUCUGGAUACCAUCACCCAAAGCAGUCAGUCCUACCUUCUUGCCUUGGGAUCCACAAAGAGCAGCAUUCACUCCUACUUGUUGUGAUCUGCAAGCAUACGGUUCCAUGCAAGGCUACGGGCCCCACUGGGAGCCUUUUACGAACUCUUUAAGGCUCACUUCGUUGUUGGUACGUCAUACAGUACUUGCUUGAGUAACUUCUUCACUUUUGUGCAAACAACCAUCUAUACCAUUGAUAUGGGGGAAACAAAGGAGACUCCCUGAGUUAAGAGCAAGAAUGUUGCGUUAGUGAAGAUCUGCUAAGGAGAAAUUAUUAAGUGUUUUCUAUGCAAGACUGAGCAUACAAGUUCAAGCACCUUGAAGUAAUUAAUGGACUCUGUCCAGGGAGAACUCUUCAUCUAAAAUGUGGUCAGGUGGGAUGUUCACAUUCCUUUGGUAGCUUUUCUGGUUUUAGAAAGCAUUUAAAUAAUUGCCACAUUAGCAGUUAAUUUGGUUCAGUCGGUGAUGUCGAUUUUUUUCAAACCCUCAAAGCACCUUUAACACUUGUAAGGGUAAUGCUGUUGGAGAAGUGUUGACUGAAAAUGUAGAGUGAGACAGCGAUGUCUUCCCCAGACAUUGUAAAUAGGUGUGCGUCUGUAAUUGCUGAUCUAAAGGCAGCAGGUGUAGGUCAAAGUACAGUUAAUUCUGUUGUGAAUGAUUUUGAGGUUGCAAACCCUUUGGGUUCCAAGCGAGGAAUUCAUAAAUUGGGUGCUAUAUAUUUUACUUUUUAAGGAACUUCUCUCAUAAAUGGAAUUCUUGUUUGACUAACAUACACCUGUGAGAACUUGUUAGAGGCCCAGUGUGGCCCAGUGCAAGUUGAAGUUAUUAUUUCUUUAGCUGAUGGAAAAACAUGUAACAUCAGCAGAAUUAGAGAUUUAAGAAUACAAAGUUUUGAUUAUGGAUUCAUGAAAAGAAACAAUAAACCAGUGGCUGUGAAUUUAUCAGAAGGAUCAAAUGAUUAAUUAAUUAAUGCAAUUUUGUCAUGGUGCCUACUGAGAAACAUUCUUAUUUUGGGGGGAUUUGGUACCUUCUACUGACCAGCACUGAGGCCUACUCCUUUUAUGACUUCAAAUAGUUAACAUAAUAUUUUCUCCUAUGUUUAUUGAAAACAUUUGAUUGUGGAGCACCGCAAACUAUUUAAACAGUUUCCCCAGAAAACUUUUACCAAAGCACCAUUUUCUAAUUCAUUAUCCCCCCACUGCAUCCAGAAAAUUUGACCUGUAAUUCAUAGUUGGGGUAUGAAGGUAAGCAUAAUUUAAAAAAUAUAUAUAUAGCUAUUCAAGAACAUUUCCAUGCAUACAAAGUAACCAAGUCAAAACAUGGUUUUGUUUUCUUUCAUGGCGACAACCUGCAUUAUCAUAGAUGAUUUGAUAUACAAAUGUCGUAUAGAAUGAAUAACACAUUUGUUGUCCCAUAUUGCUUUUUCUGGUGAGCAUGUCACUUGUGAUGUUGACAUUGAUCUGUAAAUGGUUACAUUGAUUAAAAGGAAAGGUGAGGGCGGGUUGAUGUGCAUUAACAUUGAAAUUGAUGACAUUUACAAUAAAUGUUGGACAUUUA